rnacentral:lncRNA from 7 species
CCCAGGACUGGUUUGGUCUCAGCAGUGGGUACAGUCCUUGGCUGCUGUCUGUCUGCCCCUAGCUAUGGCUGCAGAGCUGCUUUUGGCAGUCAGGAGCAGCAGGACCCAACCCUAUAGUGACCCCAUGAGAGUGGUCCUCAGAGGCAGGACCAGGCCCUCAUCUCCCUGUAAGGAGAAGAAAUAACAUGGGUUUGAAACCUCUGAACUGCAAACAGCUUGGAAACCUGACAAAAUGCAUUGCUGCCACCUCUACUCCCUGACAUAAUUUUGUUCUGUUAUACCUGACUGCAUAGCUGUAAAUACUCAAUACAGCAUGGGUUAAUGCUGUGAGUAUGCUGCCAGUUCUGGAUGGACAGAAAGAAGAGCCACAAUAACUGAAUAUAACGCAAUGUAGAGAUGCAAUUUAACAUAGACAAACUGCAGCUGAUUGACUUAUUACACUCUUAGAAGAAAAUUCUCCAACCACUCUCAAUCUGAGUAACAAAGUGGAUGAAAGCUCCAGCUUUUGCACUGAAUUCCCUGUUUCUGGGCUCCUUGCUGCUGGGGGCUCCCAUUUACCUGAGGACGAGACUGCUGGCUCUGUGUGUGCUCAUAUGAACUUGGGGAAAACCUCUGGUGUGGAUAUGAAGGAUUGAAAAUGAGCAAUAAAUAAUAGCAAAAUAGUGGGCUCUAAUACAUUCUGCUAAGAUACUGGACUGUUUUCAGUUCUGUGCAGCUGACAGUUUUCUGUUUUCAAUAACUUAAAGUGGAGCCAUAGAAUUUCAAUCACCUUCCAUCUUAUGGAGAGCUGAAUUCCUUCAGAAUAACUCAGAGGAAUUGACUGAACCGUAUUUUUCAUGUUUCCCAAAUGAGCAGCGCUGUGCCAUGGAAAUUAGGAUGGAACGGGAAACAGACGGCUGUGCUACCUCCAUCCUGCUGAGGAGAUGAAGGUCAAAGACACCUUCAUUCUUCUCAGCACUUCUCCCAAAGGGAUUGUAAACAAGAUCACAGCCUAGUGCGAUUAAUUGUGAAUAAAACCAAUUCCUAUUGCCUC